ACGAGACACGUGAAACCUUGUGGGAAGCUGGGAGGACCACCUCCCAAGGCUAAAUACUACCUAGUGACCGAUAGUGAAGAAGUACCGUGAGGGAAAGGUGAAAAGAACCCCAGGAGGGGAGUGAAAUAGAACCUGAAACCGUGUGUCCACAACCGAUCAAAACACGUUAAUGUGUGAUGAUGUGCUUUUUGUAGAACGAGCCAGCGAGUUACGGUAUGCAGCAAGGUUAAGCACUUAAGGUGCGCAGCCGAAGGGAAACCA
rnacentral:rRNA from 1 species